CAGUCUUCAGUGUCAAUUCAAUUCAAUUCAAUUCAAUUCACAUUUAUUUGUAUAGCGCUUUUCGCGAUACCUAUCGUUUCAAAGCAGCUGUUAAAUGUCGCUGUAGAUUUUGCAGCACAGUACUGUAAAAACCUACAGUACAGUACCAUAUUUCUAUAUUACAGUAAAAUACUGUAAUUUAUAUUGCAUUCUGGGUAAUUUUGAUUGAGCGGGAAUAUUUUACAGUACAUUUUAGUGUUGCUGUAACCCUGCUGUAACCUGGCUGUAAUAUACCAGGCAAUAAUACAGGAUUGCUGUAAAUAAAGCGCCACCUGACGUCACAUCACACAGACAGAAGAACACAGCCGCUGGUGACUGGAGAAGCAGAACGGUGUAUUUCUGGAAGUUUGCAGUGUGGUCCACUUGUCUUUGCAUCCUGGGAAGUGCAUUGCUGUCACAAGGAAGCGUAUUUUUUUGGCAUUGAAGGAAAGAAAUGUACUGCCCGACAGGGAGUGAGCAGAAGACCAGGACGGUGGUGCAGAGUGAUGGCCAUCAACCCACAUGUCAACAGCUUCGUUCGGUCCUUUGUGUUUAAAUGGAAGACUUCACACUGAGGGACUGUGGCCUGUUUGCAACCAUCCACGUGCCCUUCAGUUAGGGGUGAAUCUUGUGGGACACUUGUUGUUUUUGCUCACUUUUUAAGAUAAAUCAAAUUUCUGAUGCACUGUACCAAGACCGUUGCUGAUGGGGCGAAAGAUGGUGACAAUUCUGAAAUGUUUUGAAAUGUUUAAAUAUAUUGAUUGAAUAAAAAUACAUUUUUUAAAUUUA